rnacentral:rRNA from 1 species
GAUGAACGCUGGCGGCGUGCCUAAUACAUGCAAGUCGAGCGAACAGACGAGGAGCUUGCUCCUCUGACGUUAGCGGCGGACGGGUGAGUAACACGUGGAUAACCUACCUAUAAGACUGGGAUAACUUCGGGAAACCGGAGCUAAUACCGGAUGAUAUAUUGAACCGCAUGGUUCAAUAGUGAAAGACGGUUUUGCUGUCACUUAUAGAUGGAUCCGCGCCGCAUUAGCUAGUUGGUAAGGUAACGGCUUACCAAGGCAACGAUGCGUAGCCGGCCUGAGAGGGUGAUCGGCCACACUGGAACUGAGACACGGUCCAGACUCCUACGGGAGGCAGCAGUAGGGAAUCUUCCGCAAUGGGCGAAAGCUUGACGGAGCAACGCCGCGUGAGUGAUGAAGGUCUUCGGAUCGUAAAACUCUGUUAUUAGGGAAGAACAAAUGUGUAAGUAACUAUGCACGUCUUGACGGUACCUAAUCAGAAAGCCACGGCUAACUACGUG